ACAGUUUAAUUAAUACUGGAAACAUUAUCCCUUUGUCAUCUUCUUUUAAUGACACCAUAAUUCCUUGCAGGGUGGGGUCUAGGCAACUGAAUGGAGCUGAGUGUUUACUGGCCGGAUGCCCUUCCUGUCAUCAAUGUGGAGUUAUAUUCAGCAGAUACAUUUUCAUUGUGCCCAGAGAGAGAAAUAUCUGCCUCUACC